UUUUUACUGCACAAAGUUCUCUUUUCUUUUAUGAAAAAAGAUCAAAUUUCAGAAAUUUUAGAAAACAUUCAAAAAUUUCUUAUUCUUGGUUUUCACAAGCUGAGAAAUAUGGUUUGAAGUGGAGGAUUUUCUGGGUUCCUUUAGCUAGAUUUUCUAGUUUCAAAGCUGUCUUGAUUUUGUUCAAACUUCUGAUUUCUUUGGGCUGAUGUUGCUGUUUGUUUGAUUUCUGCUCCUUCAAGCUUCAGCUGAUUUUCUUUGUUCACCUGCUUACUUGCUAGUUUAUUGCUGUUUGUUCAAGGUACUAUGCUUGACCUUUUUCAUGUAAAGCUCUUAUUUGAAAUGAUAUGAAACUGAAGCUGCUAGAAUUCAUAUGAUAAUGUAUUCUCAUGAUUAACUUGUGAUUGUGUUGAUUGGAUUUGAAUAAUUUUCUAUUUCAUGAGCUUUUGAUUUGGUCAGUUUGUUCAAAAAAACCUUGUAGUUUCUCCUUUUAGAAGUAACUUUGUGUGAAGAUGUCUUUUGGUCACAUGGCUGUAAUCUGCAGAUUUGGCCACCGGUUGGCCCAAAUCAGCUAGAUCUAAGCUAAAGAUAGGAUUCUGAUGGUUAAAGUUAUGCUGAAACUAGUAUUUUCCAUAUGGUGUAUCAGCUUGUGAGGACAAAUCAUGUCUAGAAGAGGCAAGGAUUGUUUGGGUUGCUGAAAAAUGUAAUAGAGUAGUUUACAUAAUAGUUUAUAUGUGUUAAUAGAUCUGAUGCAACAUAUUUGAUUUUCUGAAAAAAAAAUUCUUCUUUUAUUUGUUAUUUAUUCAGAACUGUAAUAAAUCAGAUUUUUAUAUCAUGUUAAGGAUCAAAAUGUUUGCUUUAGGAGUACAUUUGUUUGUCAUUUUAUUAUCACCAUUGUGGUAGAACAAGCCAAGUUAUGAGCCCUAUCCGUAAGGAUAAAGGGUUAUCCUCUAAUUCAAAUGAGCUGAAGCUAUGAGUAAGCCCAGGUGAAAAAUACCAAAGAAUCUGGGCUUAGGCCAUUGGGCCUGAGCCACAAGCCUGAAAAUUCAUCUUUCGUCUGUAAAAGGUUACCUGUAUGAGUCAUAUUGUAAAUAUAGGUUUUUAUUCAUCUUGUAAACCAUGUAAUCAAUUGAUGAAUUAGAGCUACGUUGUAUAUCCUGAUUUUAUUUGAAAGCAGGUUGAUUUUUAAUUCUUAUAAAUCUGUGAAUAGAGGUGGACAUGCUCAGUUAGGAAACAAAUAGUGACUGGGCCCGCCUCUUACAAGUCCAAUAUGGGCUAGCUUUGUUCAAACAAGAAUUCGGCCAGCAAGAUCCUGCUGGGGCUCUUUCAUUUUUCUUGGGCCAAGUCUUAAGCCAGAUGCAACUUUUUGCAAAGCUGAACCCAUUCUAAUUUAAUCGAGUAAUGAACCCCAAGCCUAUACUCAUUUUUCAAAAGAAAUAAUUUAAGCUUAGCCCUUUUAAUUAAGUGUAAUUUUUCCUCUAAAAAGAAACAAGUUGAGGUGUGUCAUACACGAACAAAACCCAUAACUCAUGGCCCACAUAAAUUAGAUUAAGAGCUAACACUUGUAGUUGUUAUAGUUAAAUACAUUUCCUUUAAAGAGAAAAGGGUUGGAGGUGUGACAUCCAUAAAUUAGAUCAUCCAUGGCCCUCACAAAUAUUGUAACUUAGAUAUUAAAAAUGAAUCUUCGUAGUUGCUUUAGGCGCGCUACAUUAAAUUAUCAUGGCUACGAGUACAUCUCCCAUAACGUAGUUGUGAUUUCUAAAAUCCGGGUGUACAUUUCAUGUGACCCGACUUCAAUUUCCAACAAUAUUAAAUAAAAUGUGUCGCGAACCGCGGGUGCAUUUCAUGUAGUGUGGUUUAAGAUGUGUUUUAAAUAACGUUGAAUUUUCCUAAAAACAGUAAAAGUCGUAAAAAUGCCCAUAGGUUUAAAAUGCGUAAUUAAUCAGAUAAUAGACCAAUAUUAAUAGUUUAAGCGACCGUGCUAGAACUACGGAAUCCGUAAAUGCCUAAAAGCUUCUCCCGGAUUAACAAAAUUCCUUAUCUAGAAUUUCUAGUUCGCGGACUUUAAAAAAAUAAAAAUUUCCUCGAUUUGGGAUUUUAAAAUAAACCGGUGACUUGGAAUACCAAAUUAACUAUUCCAAGUGGUGACUCUGAUAAAUUAAAUAAUCUCAUUUCGCUUUAUGUCACUUUAAUUGGAAAAACUUUCAUAUACCCUCGGGUGUAAAAAGGAGGUGUGACAGCUCUGGCGACUCCACUGGGGAUCAAAACCCAGAACUUUGGUUCAGGGUUCAAGAAUUCGAGCUUAGAAUAACUGUUAUAGUUGGCUUGUUUUUAUCUAAUUUUUAUAUGAUUGAGCCUAAUGUGCUAAUUGCCGUUUUUUACCGCUUUGAUAUUGUUUGGACUAUAUAUAAAUUGCUACGAAACCCUCCUCUCUCUGAGUCUUCUAAAUCAUCUGGGAAGGGUACACUUCGUGUAACUUCUUUUCUGUUAGAGUCAUAUCCUAAUUUUAGAACGAGGUUCGGACAAGUUGCAAAAUUGAUGAAGCUUCUGUAUUCCCGGUACGCUGCCCCCCCCCCCCCCCCGGCUCGAGCUGUCCGCUCAGGUAAGCCAAGUCUAGAACAAUACACCUAGAUUUUUAAAUCUAGUAUAAAAUAGCCUCAUGCCAGAUCCCUAGUAGGAACUCUUGUUUGCAUCACGUAUAUUUGACUUUGGGGACUCAACACAGGGGUUGGGUCCGUCUAAGACAGGUGUACCCAAAAUCAAAAGACCAUCCUGAUGCAUUUUACUUGCUACUUGCAUUUAUUUACCUCGAAUUGCAUGUUGACCGGCUUCUAGAAUAAGGGAGAAAAAUUGAAAAAAUCAAAUUGAGGUAUGAGAGAGAUAAUUACCUGUCUUCAGAAAGUUUAGUGUCCAAAAAGUACCGAAAUUUUGAAAAAAGAAAAGGAAAAUUGUUUCAAAAAAUAUUUGGUGUUGUUUUCUGUUGCGUCAAAAUUUCCCGAACUACGCAAGUUUAAUUCUCACUGGAUGUGGGAUACGUAGGCAACCCUCAUGGAUCCAACUCCGUUUUUGCAAAAAUAACCCAAUUUGUUUCUUGAAAUGUUGUCAUAAAUAAAAUUAGGUAAUGUCGUUCUUGUCUAAAUAGCCAAAAUGCCCCCAAAAGGGCACCGGAAGGUUGCUUUUGCAAGAAUAGCAACCUACGGUACCUUUUUAAAUUUUUUGGCCAAUUAGCAAACACAACCCUAAAAUCUUCUUUCCUGAGAUGCUGAAGGGCUGUAUUUGCAAAGGUGUUUUUGUUUUGAAUUGCAAUUUUGAAAAAUUGAUAAUUUUCUCUUGAGUCAAAAUAAAUCAUGGUCUUUUAACCGAUCACUUUAAAUAAAUGUGCAGGAUGAACACUAUUGAAAAUGAACCCUUCACAGUCCUUGAGAAAAUCCCGUUAGAACUCCAUAUGUGGUGGAGUGAUUUAGGGAAAG
rnacentral:lncRNA from 1 species